rnacentral:rRNA from 1 species
GACGAACGCUGGCGGCGUGCUUAACGCAUGCAAGUCGAACGGAAAGGCCCUGCUUUUGUGGGGUGCUCGAGUGGCGAACGGGUGAGUAACACGUGAGUAACCUGCCCUUGACUUUGGGAUAACUUCAGGAAACUGGGGCUAAUACCGGAUAGGAGCUCCUGCUGCAUGGUGGGGGUUGGAAAGUUUCGGCGGUUGGGGAUGGACUCGCGGCUUAUCAGCUUGUUGGUGGGGUAGUGGCUUACCAAGGCUUUGACGGGUAGCCGGCCUGAGAGGGUGACCGGCCACAUUGGGACUGAGAUACGGCCCAGACUCCUACGGGAGGCAGCAGUGGGGAAUAUUGCACAAUGGGCAGAAGCCUGAUGCAGCAACGCCGCGUGCGGGAUGACGGCCUUCGGGUUGUAAACCGCUUUCGCCUGUGACGAAGCGUGAGUGACGGUAAUGGGUAAAGAAGCACCGGCUAACUACGUG